GGGCCGUUAGUCCAAAAUAAGACCUCUGACUUCGGCUCAGAUAACCGUGGUUUAACUCCACGACUGCCUU
rnacentral:tRNA from 1 species